GAUGAACGCUGGCGGCGUGCCUAAUACAUGCAAGUCGAGCGAACAGACGAGGAGCUUGCUCCUCUGACGUUAGCGGCGGACGGGUGAGUAACACGUGGAUAACCUACCUAUAAGACUGGGAUAACUUCGGGAAACCGGAGCUAAUACCGGAUAAUAUAUUGAACCGCAUGGUUCAAUAGUGAAAGACGGUUUUGCUGUCACUUAUAGAUGGAUCCGCGCCGCAUUAGCUAGUUGGUAAGGUAACGGCUUACCAAGGCAACGAUGCGUAGCCGACCUGAGAGGGUGAUCGGCCACACUGGAACUGAGACACGGUCCAGACUCCUACGGGAGGCAGCAGUAGGGAAUCUUCCGCAAUGGGCGAGAGCUUGACGGAGCAACGCCGCGUGAGUGAUGAAGGUCUUCGGAUCGUAAUACUCUGUUAUUAGGGAAGAACAAAUGUGUAAGUAACUAUGCACGUCUUGACGGUACCUAAUCAGAAAGCCACGGCUAACUACGUG
rnacentral:rRNA from 1 species